rnacentral:rRNA from 1 species
CCCUUAGAUGUUCUGGGCCGCACGCGCGCUACACUGAUGCAUUCAACGAGUUUCUUCCUGGUCCGAGAGGAAUGGGUAACCUUUUGAAAGUGCAUCGUGAUAGGGAUAGACUAUUGCAAUUAUUGGUCUUCAACGAGGAAUUCCUAGUAGACGUAGUUCAUCAGACUGCAUCGAUUACGUCCCUGCCCUUUGUACACACCGCCCGUCGCUCCUACCGAUUGAAUGCUCAGGUGAGCCAUUCGGACUUUCAUCAUGCUGGUUUCCAGUUUUGAUGAAGGAAAGUCUUGCGAACCUAUCAUUUAGAGGAAGGAGAAGUCGUAACA